CACCGGCGCCCUGAGUGGCAAUCAGAAUUAUUGGGCCUAAAGCGUUCGUAGCCGGAUUUGUAAGUUUCUUGUGAAAUUAUUCAGCUUAACUGAAUAAAUGGCAGGAAAUACUGCAAGUCUAGGGACCGGGAGGAGUUAGAAGUAUUCUAUGGGGAGCGGUAAAAUGUUAUAAUCCAUGGAAGACUACCUGUGGUGAAGACGUCUAACUAGAACGGAUCCGACGGUGAGGAACGAAGGCUAGGGGAGCAAACCGG
rnacentral:rRNA from 1 species